rnacentral:rRNA from 1 species
GGNUCGAGAUGAUCAGAUACCGUCGUAGUCUUAACCAUAAACUAUGCCGACUAGAGAUUGGAAGGUUGUUCCUUACUC